rnacentral:rRNA from 1 species
UGCCAGCAGCCGCGGUAAUACGAGGGGUGCAAGCGUUAAUCGGAAUUACUGGGCGUAAAGCGCGUGUAGGUGGUUGAUUAAGCCAGAUGUGAAAGCCCCGAGCUCAACUUGGGAACUGCAUUUGGAACUGGUCGACUAGAGUUUUGUAGAGGGUGGUAGAAUUUCCAGUGUAGCGGUGAAAUGCGUAGAGAUUGGAAGGAAUACCAGUGGCGAAGGCGGCCACCUGGACAGAAACUGACACUGAGACGCGAAAGCGUGGGUAGCAAACGGGAUUAGAUA